rnacentral:rRNA from 1 species
AGUGAACGCUGGCGGUAGGCCUAACACAUGCAAGUCGAACGGCAGCACAGUAAGAGCUUGCUCUUACGGGUGGCGAGUGGCGGACGGGUGAGGAAUACAUCGGAAUCUACUUUUUCGUGGGGGAUAACGUAGGGAAACUUACGCUAAUACCGCAUACGACCUACGGGUGAAAGCAGGGGAUCUUCGGACCUUGCGCGAUUGAAUGGGCCGAUGUCGGAUUAGCUAGUUGGCGGGGUAAAGGCCCACCAAGGCGACGAUCCGUAGCUGGUCUGAGAGGAUGAUCAGCCACACUGGAACUGAGACACGGUCCAGACUCCUACGGGAGGCAGCAGUGGGGAAUAUUGGACAAUGGGCGCAAGCCUGAUCCAGCCAUACCGCGUGGGUGAAGAAGGCCUUCGGGUUGUAAAGCCCUUUUGUUGGGAAAGAAAAGCAGCAGGUUAAUACCCCGCUGUUCUGACGGUACCCAAAGAAUAAGCACCGGCUAACUUCUUG